AUGCUGCCCGCUCUUGUGCAUGUCCGGCCGCCGCACUCCGCCCUACCGAGUCUUCGCGGCCGCCCUCGGCCUCGUGGCGCAGCUCCACCCCAGCGCGUGGCUCCGCCCGCGUUCGGCCUCCCUUGCUCAUCUCUGGGCUGCUUUUCCCCCGGCUGCCCAUACGCUGCUCCACCACCAUGGUCGUGGCUACCUCAACGCCAUGGCCCUGAGCUCCCUUCUCGCUCUCCGCCUCAUCGUGCUGCUGCAGUCCAUGGCGUUCUUAUCCUCCUGCCGCCCCAUCUCGCUGCUCGUCUCCAUCCACGCCCGCCUGUCCGAGCUCCCUCCUGCGCUGCUCCGGCCAUCGUGGCCGCGCCCCAUCCGUCCAGCUCUUCCUACCGAGCCUGGCGCCGCGCUCACUGCCUCCUCCGCCCGCGCCUCCUCGGCCGAGCCCGCGGCCAGCAGCGCCGCCCCCCCUCCACUGUAGCUCGGCCGCAGCUUGCCCCGUUGUCAGCGGCCGCGCCGCGCUGCUCCAUCCUCCACGCACGCACGUGGCUCCGCCCGCUCCGGCCCAGCGCCUUGCAGUCCGCCCUCUGCGUCACCUACUCCGCUUUGUCCCGCGCGCAUCGGCUCCACCUCCUGCGUGCCCGCUCCGCCGCGUCCCUGCAUCGUCCCGCGGCGCCUCCGCCUGCGACGCCCGGCCCUGCCCCACGGCCGGCUUCGUUGGCCCAAACUGCGCCUACAGCUGCACGCCCGCGCCGGAUUCCCCGUAACCCGGCGUGCCAGCUUCGCCCGCGCCGGAUUCCCCGCAACCCGGUGUGCCGGCUUCGCCCGCGUAUGAUUCCCCGCAACCCGGCGUGCCGGCUUCGCCUGCGCCGGAUUCCCUGCAACCCGACCUGCCGGCUUCCCCGCAACCCGGCCUGCCGACUUCGUCCGCGCCGGCUUCCCCGGCGACCCGGCCGCUUGCCGGCUCCUCCCGCCAACCCGGCAACCCGGACGCUUGCCGGCUCCGCGCGCGCCCGGGCUGCGGCGUCCGGCCGGCGCCUACCUCUGGCCCCGCCCGUGCUCCCGGGCCGCCCAUGGUCGGCCGCUGGCUUGCCGGUCCCCGCAGCUCCGGUCUUAGCUCUCCCAGGCCGGCUGCCCCGCGCUGUGACAGAAAGAAAAGUAAGAUAUGCUGGCUGGAAAAAGAAAAAGAACCCGGCUGGUCAGGCCGGAUGUGUAAAAAAAAGAAAGAGAGAGAAAGGAGAGAGAUGUGCGUUCGACUGCACGCGGCCAGCUAGAAUUGGCGUCCGACUGCCAGAUGUGCGUCCGACUGCCCAUAUCAGGCUUAAAAAUUGUGCCUAA
rnacentral:rRNA from 1 species